rnacentral:rRNA from 1 species
UCCAAGUGAAGCAGAGGACAGUGGCGGACGGGUGAGUAACGCGUGAGGAACCUGCCUUUCAGAGGGGGAUAACGGCUGGAAACGGUCGCUAAUACCGCAUGAUGUGUUCGGAUGGCAUCAUCUGAACAUCAAAGAUUUAUCGCUGAAAGAUGGGCUCGCGUCUGAUUAGAUAGUUGGUGGGGUAACGGCCUACCAAGUCUACGAUCAGUAGCCGGACUGAGAGGUUGAACGGCCACAUUGGAACUGAGAGACGGUCCAAACUCC